rnacentral:rRNA from 1 species
CAGCCGCCGCGGUAAUACAGAGGGUGCAAGCGUUAAUCGGAAUUACUGGGCGUAAAGCGUGCGUAGGUGGUGGUUUAAGUCCGUUGUGAAAGCCCUGGGCUCAACCUGGGAAUUGCAGUGGAUACUGGGUCACUAGAGUGUGGUAGAGGAUAGUGGAAUUUCCGGUGUAGCAGUGAAAUGCGUAGAGAUCGGAAGGAACAUCUGUGGCGAAGGCGACUAUCUGGGCCAACACUGACACUGAGGCACGAAAGCGUGGGGAGCAAACAGGAUUAGAGACCCCCGUAGUCCCUGUCUCUUAUAC